UGGGGAAUAUUGCACAAUGGGCGGAAGCCUGAUGCAGCGACGCCGCGUGGGGGAUGACGGCCUUCGGGUUGUAAACUCCUUUCGACAGGGACGAAGCUUUUUGUGACGGUACCUGUAUAAGAAGCACCGGCUAACUACGUGCCAGCAGCCGCGGUAAUACGUAGGGUGCGAGCGUUGUCCGGAAUUACUGGGUGUAAAGAGCUCGUAGGUGGUUUGUCGCGUCGUCUGUGAAAUUCCGGGGCUUAACUCCGGGCGUGCAGGCGAUACGGGCAUAACUUGAGUGCUGUAGGGGAGACUGGAAUUCCUGGUGUAGCGGUGAAAUGCGCAGAUAUCAGGAGGAACACCGAUGGCGAAGGCAGGUCUCUGGGCAGUUACUGACGCUGAGGAGCGAAAGCAUGGGUAGCGAACAGG
rnacentral:rRNA from 1 species